CCUACGGGGGGCAGCAGUGGGGGAUAUUGCACAAUGGGGGAAACCCUGAUGCAGCGACGCCGCGUGAGUGAAGAAGUAUUUCGGUAUGGAAAGCUCGAUCAGCAGGGAAGAAAAUGACGGUACCUGACCAAGAAGCCCCGGCUAACUACGUGCCAGCAGCCGCGGUAAUACGUAGGGGGCAAGCGUUAUCCGGAUUUACUGGGUGUAAAGGGAGCGUAGGUGGUAAGGCAAGUCUGAGGUGAAAACCCGGGGCCCAACCCCGGGAGUGCUUUUGAAACUGUGUAACUGGAGUACAGGAGGGGUAAGCGGAAUUCCUGGUGUAGCGGUGAAAUGCGUAGAUAUUAGGAGGAACACCAGCGGCGAAGGCGGCCUGCUGGACUGAAACUGACAUUGAGGCUCGAAAGCGUGGGGAGCAAACAGGAUUAGAUACCCCUGUAGUC
rnacentral:rRNA from 1 species